AAUCUAAAAUUCCAAUACAUAAACCAAAAUUUCAAUUCAUAUCCUAAAGGUUCAAUUCAUAUCCUAACGGUUCAACUCAUAUCCACAAAAGUUCAAGUCAUAUCCUAAAAUUUAAAUUUAUAAACUAAAAUCCCAAUACAUAAACAGAAAUUUCAAGUCAUAUCCCAAAGGAUCAACUCAUAUUCACAAAAGUUCAAGUCAUAUCCUAAAAUUUCAAUUUAUAAACUAAAAUUCCAAUACACAAACCAAAAUUUCAAUUCAUAUCCUAAAGGUUCAACUCAUAUCCACAAAUGUUCAAGUCAUAUCUCAAAAUUUCAAUUUAUAAUCUAAAAUUCCAAUACAUAAACCAAAAUUUCAAUUCAUAUCCUAAAGGUUCAAUUCAUAUCCUAAAGGUUCAACUCAUAUCCACAAAAGUUCAUGUCAUAUCCUAAAAUUUCAAUUUAUAAACUAAAAUUCCAAUAUAUAAACCAAAAUUUCAAUUCGUAUCCUAAAGGUUCAACUCAUAUCCACAAAAGUUCAAGUCAUAUCCUAAAAUUUCAAUUUAUAAUCUAA
rnacentral:lncRNA from 1 species